rnacentral:tRNA from 1 species
GGGGAUGUAGCUCAGUGGCACAGCACCUGCCUGGCAGGUGCGAAAUCCUGAGUUCAAUUCCUGGUAUCCCCA